ACAGCAAAAAAUCUACACUCAAAAGAAAUAAUCGUUUAUUGCUUGGACUUCUCUGAGCUCUAGUACCUGAAUCAGAGGGUUUCAUGGCAAAGCAGAUACGAUCUGCAAAACUCUUGAGGAGCUUCCAGGGGCAAGAGUCCAGCCAGCUGUUCAGUCAGUGGCUCCACAGCAAGGUAAUAGAACCUGACUUUAUUCACAUCUGGGUAAAAGAAGUCAAGCUUGGUAUGGGAGAAGAAGCGGAAUAUAGGCACGUAUUGUAAAUAGACAUCUGACUAUUAGGCCCAGACUCUGACGCUCAGAGUGGGCAAAACCAGGAGCUGUCACGGAAUGGGCUCUGCGUUGGGGCCCAGUUUCAAGAAGGCCUCAGAACAACUUUGGAAGAUGAAUUGAUCCUGUUGCAUGAGCCUGGAAGCCUUGUUAAGUCACUUGACCUCCAGUCAGGUCAGCGUAUGGUUAGCUACCCGGACACAUCUUUCUACCAGACACUCUGGCCUUCAGAUUCCAGAGGAGCCAGUGGGCAGGGGUGUCUGUUUUUCACUG
ensembl:lncRNA novel transcript, antisense to SPEF2